UACGUAGGGUGCAAGCGUUGUCCGGAAUUAUUGGGCGUAAAGAGCUCGUAGGCGGCUUGUCACGUCGACUGUGAAAACCCGGGGCUCAACUCCGGGCCUGCAGUCGAUACGGGCUGGCUUGAGUGCGGUAGGGGAGACUGGAAUUCCUGGUGUAGCGGUGGAAUGCGCAGAUAUCAGGAGGAACACCAACGGCGAAGGCAGCUCGCUGGGACGGUACUGACACUAAGGCGCGAAAGCGUGGGGAGCGAACAGG
rnacentral:rRNA from 1 species